GCCUAACACAUGCAAGUCGAGCGAGCAGAACCAGCAGAUUUACUUCGGUAAUGACGCUGGGGACGCGAGCGGCGGAUGGGUGAGUAACACGUGGGGAACCUGCCCCAUAGUCUGGGAUACCACUUGGAAACAGGUGCUAAUACCGGAUAAGAAAGCAGAUCGCAUGAUCAGCUUAUAAAAGGCGGCGUAAGCUGUCGCUAUGGGAUGGCCCUGCGGUGCAUUAGCUAGUUGGUAAGGUAACGGCUUACCAAGGCGAUGAUGCAUAGCCGAGUUGAGAGACUGAUCGGCCACAUUGGGACUGAGACACGGCCCAAACUCCUACGGGAGGCAGCAGUAGNNNAAUCUUCCACAAUGGACGCAAGUCUGAUGGAGCAACGCCGCGUGAGUGAAGAAGGUUUUCGGAUCGUAAAGCUCUGUUGUUGGUGAAGAAGGAUAGAGGUAGUAACUGGCCUUUAUUUGACGGUAAUCAACCAGAAAGUCACGGCUAACUACGUGCCAGCAGCCGCGGUAAUACGU
rnacentral:rRNA from 1 species